AGCCUGAGGGCAGGGUCGCAAACUCAAACGCCCAAGGAGCCGAUCGAUAAUAUGAAUUGGUGCUGCAGGCCAGGCGAGGUUAGAAUGGUCUUCGCUUCCACAAAGACAUAUGAGCUCUCCUUUAUUUCUUGAGACACGAGGCCCUCUCUCGGUCUGUCUUUUGUUUCCCACUUUUGAUAGAGAAGGGUUAUGAGAACUGUUUUGCUUUCCUCUUUACUAUAAAAGAACAUCGGCCCGAGCUCCAGAUGCGCACCGACAGAGGCUGGGCUUCAGCACCAGGGAGGCAAUGGACAGCGCCGGAGACAGGGCACAAGAUCCCAUCUAAAGGAGCAGCUGGCUCUUCAGCUCCAGGGAACAAAGGAGGACAGUGCCUUGAUGUGGGAUUUCCUGUGGUGUGUAAUCUUGACCAGCGGGAGUCUCCAAAACCAGCCACAACCAGGAGGAAAUGGCAACAAGACUGGGUUCUUUAGAGUGGCACUUCUGUUCCUUCUGCCUGCAGUGCUCCUUCCCAGGACAGCUUGGAAGCCUACAGCCUCACCUCCUCCAUGCCUGUGCUCACGGCGAUGCUUUUGGAGGCUUGAGCCAGAGUGUCUGCAAGGCAGCGCCCACGGCAGGCACUGCAGUUCCUUUCCCUGCCUCCCGUUCCUGCAGAUCACUGACCGCCAUCUGACACACCAUGUACUCUACUUAUUUUGGCAACUUCUCCCCACCCCCAUCCCUGCUACACUGCAAGCCACACAAGGGCAGGGCUGUGCCUGCAUGGCUCUCUGCUGUCCCGGCACCUAGAACGGUGGUUGGCACACAGUGGCAGUUCAUGCUUGUGCAAUGACUACACCCCAGACUUCUGUCAUUCACAUUCCGCCUUUACAACUUUGGUCUUACCCGCACCCCACUUGUGCUGUUUAAUAUUGUGCUUUCCAUCAGCCCCCUUUAAAAAACUAAAAGAAAUGAAAUGUGAAAGGAAGAAUUUUUAUCACUGCCGUGAGUGGAAAACCAAUACCACUUGCCAUAAAUAGAAGACAACUGUUAAAAUAAAUGCCAUGAAAACAAAACAACGUGAUGAAAUUUGAGCAAGAGCCUGUUGUCUGCGGAAGGCAGUAAGCCUGAGGCCGGCCCCUCUGCUAAACGAGGGAGGCUGCAAGACCUGGGGAGGCCUCAAAGACAGCUAGCACUAAACCAAGACUUUGUCCGUGAUGAGGUCUGAAUACGAAGUGACUUUCUCAACACAUGAGAUGACUUAACUCCUUUGCUGGCACCUCCUAAUAUCAUCCCCCCGACAUGGUCAUCACCUGCACUUUGGUGGACAUAGAACCUGGAACACUUGAUAGGGCUGGGUGCAUAGGGACUGCUCCCCAAAUGCACCUGGCACUUGGGGUCAUGCUAGCCCCUAAGGUGCCUUUGUGAGAAUUAGGAAAAGAUGCCAUCUCCAGGUGGAGGUGGCCCACGGGCACAGGGCUGGACAACUGGACGGUGCCUUUGUGGACAGAAAGGUGCCCUGUGCCUGGGGUUCUGCCUUCCUGCAAGGCUCUCAGGGCCUGUCGGUCUGUAUCUCCAUCUUGGCUUCCAGUCCUGCUUGAGCCCCCAUUAGUUUUGUCUGCCCCUGUCUUCCUCACCUGGGACUGCCUUCUUCAUGCGUGUAUCUUCCAUCGCUCAGCAGUGUCCUGCAUACGACUGGCUUUCAGGAAACAUUCGUGGACUUGAAUAGAUCAGUGAUUAAUCAAACUCCAAAUAGCCAAUACUUCUUCCUGUCCAGAUAAAUAAUAUCAAAAAAUUUAUCUCCUCUCUCA